GAUGAACGCUAGCUACAGGCUUAACACAUGCAAGUCGAGGGACCGGCGCCCGGGUGCGUACCCCGUAUCCAACCUGCCCUUUACUCGGGGAUAGCCUUUCGACAGACAGAUUAAUACCCGAUAUAAAGGAUGGGGAUGCGUUCCUUUAGGUUGUUGGUGAGGUAACGGCACACAAAGCCUUCGAUGGAUAGGGGUUCUGAGAGGAAGGUCCCACACAUGGGAACUGAGAAACGGUCCAAACUCCGACGGGAGGAAGAAGUGAGGAAUAUUGGGCAAUGGGCGUUAGACUGAACCAGCCAAGUAGCGUGAAGGAUGAAGGCGUAGGGGUCGUAAACGUAUUUUAUAUAAGAAUAUGUAUUAUAUGAAUAAGGAUCGGCUAACUCCGUGCCAGCAGCCGCGGUAAUUC
rnacentral:rRNA from 1 species